AUGCUGAGAGCAGGCAUGGCCGGUAUCGACUUAUCUGGAAACUCUCUAUCAGAGGAGAUCCCAAAUGGGCUCACAACCCUUGUUGGACUCAGGUACCUGAACCUUUCAGGAAAUCACCUAUCAGGUUGUAUUCCAGAAGACAUUGGCAAUCUGGUACUGCUGGAGUCCUUGGACCUUUCUGUGAACCAACUAUGGGGGGAAAUUCCUCCAAGCUUUGCAGAUUUGAAGAGCAUAAGCGCUCUGAACCUCUCGAGCAACAGUCUAUCAGGGAGGAUACCUACGGGCGAUCAGCUGCGGACACUCAUAGAUCCGUCCAUAUACAGUAAUAAUCCUGGGCUAUGCGGGGUUCCGUUGGAAGACUGUAUAAACUCCCCGACACCGACACAAACUGAAAAAAGCCUGGAUGAAGAUAGAGAGGCAUUGUGGCUGUAUUGCUUUGUGGUUGCUGGGUUCAUGUGUGGGUUCUGGCUGUACUGGGGCAUGUUCAUAUUUCGCAGCGAGACAUGGAUAUAUGCAUUCUAUCAGUAUGUGGACAACAUGCAAGCGAAGGCAGCCAAGAAGAUGUACAGCUGCAUGUCCCGCUUCCAGGCCAGCGGCUCUGAAUGA
rnacentral:rRNA from 1 species